UAUUGUCAUGCAGGUGAAACUACAUUCCUUCCAUAACUACAUUCCAACAGGAGUGGACAAAAAAGGCUUUCAUAGCAAACGUUCUUCAGAUUGAUAGCACCAGAUGUUGCUGAGAGCCAUGUCUUCCCAGACACUUGGAAGCAGGAAAACAGAAAAAUAUAUCUCAGGAUGAGCUGGAAUGUUGUGGCAGAGAAUGCCACAGAAUGCAAAUGGAAUAAUAUUUGAAAAAAAGUUUUCUUUCUUGUUGGCAUUUUUGAAAUAACCGGUGUUCAUUAGCUCCUGCUAUGGAAGGAACCAACAAAGAGUCCACAGUUUGGGCCACAUUAAUGGACAAUGUUAUGCAUAUUGGACACCAAUAUUGUCUUCUCACAAAGAAUAAUAAUCCCAGGCUAGAGGAUUCAACGAAGCUGGACUGGCCACUCCGGUCCAGUGUAGCACCAACCCUUGUGGCCUGAAUGGAUUUGUGAUUUAUGGUGACGUAACUUAUGCGUUGCCCUCUACCUCAUCUGCUGGUGCUGGUGAAGAAGCAGUGCUCAGGUGGACUCACAGUGAUCCAUGGGCGGUGAUAGUGAUUGUGGAUUCAAUACUCCUGGUGCUUCUGUUGAUGAUGACUCUCUUUUGGCACCUGUUUUAAAAGCAGUUACCUUCUGUGUUUGCUUUUCAGUUUUAUUCAAUCAAGUUGUC